ACGGUUUUCGGGUGCGCUCGCGCGCCCAAACCCCCAACCCUUUGAUUUAUCUGAUCUUGUUUCUUUGCCGGCUCCGGCCGGCAGAAGUUUUCUCAAACCCGUUGCAACCGUGUCAUCUGAACUGUUAUGAUUACAAAUAAAUCA
rnacentral:misc_RNA from 1 species